rnacentral:rRNA from 1 species
GAGGAUAAAACCUGAUAAGAGAUAUGCCCUGGAAUGACUUAUCUCUCAAACUCGAGCCUAAGAAUGGGGCUGCGGCGGAUUAGGUUGUUGGCGGGGUAAUAGCCCACCAAGCCGAAGAUCCGUAAGGGCUCUUAGCGGAGGGGCCCUGAGAGGGAAUCUGAGACACUAUUCCCAGCCCUACGGGGUGCAGCAGUUAGGAAUCUUUUGCAAUGCGCGCAAGCGUGACAAAUUGAGCCAGAGUGCUCCUCAACGAGGAGCUUUUGCCAAAUGUAAAAAAUUUGGCGAAUAAGGACUGGGUAAGACGGGUGCCAGCCGCCGCGGUAAUACCCGCGGUCCAAGUCGCGGCCAUCUUUAUUGGGUCUAAAACAUCCGUAGCUUGCUUAAUAAGUUUCUUGUGAAAUCCAGCCUCUCAAAGGUUGGCCGCGCAAGAAGUACUGUUAAGCUAGAGACUGGAAGACGUGAGAAGUACGUUCGAAGUAGCGGUAAAAUGUUUUAAUCUCGGACGGACUCCCAACAGCGAAGGCAUCUCACGAGGACAGAUCUGACAGUAAGGGAUGAAGGCUAGGGGCGCAAAACGGAUUAGAUACCCGUGUAGUCCUAGCAGUAAACACUGCACACUA